rnacentral:rRNA from 1 species
UACGGAGGGUGCAAGCGUUAUCCGGAUUCACUGGGUUUAAAGGGUGCGUAGGAGGGCAGGUAAGUCAGUGGUGAAAUCUUUGGGCUUAACCCGAAAACUGCCAUUGAUACUAUCUGUCUUGAAUCCCGUGGAGGUGAGCGGAAUAUGUCAUGUAGCGGUGAAAUGCUUAGAUAUGACAUAGAACACCAAUUGCGAAGGCAGCUCGCUGGGACGUCACUGACGCUGAGACGCGAAAGCGUGGGGAGCAAACAGG